CCCAAGACGACAAGCCCUGUGAGGGCGGGGGCCUGGUCGCAUCCAUGUCCACAUGCCCGGGCAUCCAGACCCUCUGCCGGCACUGGAGAUGCUCAGUGAAUGACUGGAUGCGGGGUGGAGGGACGAGGGCCAACGGAAGGCAGAGCCUGCCGGGGACGGGGCCCAUUUCUCAGCCACCCCAGGAGGAGGCCCGCAGGCAGCUUCUCCACCAUCGCAGAGAGGGCGGUUCCAUAAGGAGCCUAGAAAGGCUUCCACUGGUUAAGACCUGGGGGUGGGAGAUUCAUCAGCAGGCCAGCUCUUUGGCCACACCGGGACGCCAGGGCCACGGUGGCACUGACUGUGUCCCUUUCCCAGCCUUCUCCCAUCAGCGGCUCCGGCCAGCCUCUGGGAACCCGCCUGUAUUGCAGAAAAUCGUUUUAGGUUUGACGGAUUUGUUAAUGAAAGAAACCACUUGUUACACACAAAUAAACAAUUUCAAUUUUU
rnacentral:lncRNA from 1 species